GAUGAACGCUGGCGGCGUGCCUAAUACAUGCAAGUCGAGCGAACAGACGAGGAGCUUGCUCCUUUGACGUUAGCGGCGGACGGGUGAGUAACACGUGGAUAACCUACCUAUAAGACUGGGAUAACUUCGGGGAACCGGAGCUAAUACCGGAUAACAUGUUGAACCGCAUGGUUCAACAGUGAAACACGGUCUUGCUGUCACUUAUAGAUGGAUCCGCGCCGCAUUAGCUAGUUGGUAAGGUAACGGCUUACCAAGGCAACGAUGCGUAGCCGACCUGAGAGGGUGAUCGGCCACACUGGAACUGAGACACGGUCCAGACUCCUACGGGAGGCAGCAGUAGGGAAUCUUCCGCAAUGGGCGAAAGCCUGACGGAGCAACGCCGCGUGAGUGAAGAAGGUCUUCGGAUCGUAAAACUCUGUUAUUAGGAAAGAAAAAAUGUGUAAGUAACUAUGCACGUCUUGACGGUACCUAAUCAGAAAGCAACGGCUAACUACGUG
rnacentral:rRNA from 1 species